GUAGCGCAAUGGAUAGCGCGUUGGAUUUCUAAUCCAAAAGUCGUUGGUUCAAACCUGAAAUUCCCU